GCCUCUUUUGAGGUUGAAGGAAGAAGGUUGGAACACAACUGAUAAGGAAUCAAAUUCAACAUACGUCACACGAUAAUGUGGUCAACUGCAAAUAACUCAAUGAAAUAAGAUAUCAUUAAAAUUUGGUGGACUCGUUCAAUUAUUCGCUCCAUUUUACGGCAGAAUUUCAUAUUUUAACACAAUUAUCAAAAAUUUCAAAUCGAAACAAAUUUCUUUGCUUUAAGUGACGUCAUCAAUGUCGGAUGACAUUCAGAGACCCGUGGAUGGCCGCCUCUGAACCGGCUUACCUGUUAUCACUUAUCAGGCACGUUGUAUAGUUUUAUUGUUUACUUCAUCAUGCAGUUACAGCUCGAAGUAAACCCAGACGUGAGUUUACGAGUUAUGGAUCUACAUUAAUUUUAAUUAUCAUUUAUCUCGUAUUUUCUUAUCCAUGCCAGCCCUUUCUCGUCAUAGUGAAUACUCUGCCAAAUCUUCUAUCCAUACUUUCUACUAGUAUUAUUCUGUCACUACUCUCACACCAUGAUCAAUUCAUCGUUCGAAGACGAAACCAUUGAUGGACUUGACAAAAAUGUCAAACUGUCUUUGGAUGGGCUACAGCUGAAGCAGUAUCAUGAAAAUUUCCGGAAGCAUAGGAUUGACAUUGAUCUGUUCUUCACCCUCACUAAUGACGACCUGAAAAUAUUGGCAUUGAAGAUGAAGAACACCGUAAAAUUCUGGUGAAAGCAACCACGAAACCCACAAUGGCAGUUCAAAACGAAUCCAUCCGUCCUUUAAAGAAAGAGGAAGCUGAUGCAAUUCUAACCAACUCAUUCAAAUAUCUGACAGUGCUGAAAUUGUUUAUAAAAGAACUAGAUCCCACAAGAAAGAAGAAUGAAAUCAGGAAUACCGCAUUAAAUUCUGAAACCUCUGCUGCUGAUGGAAUAGUUAGAUUUAGUAAUGCAGCCAUCAAAUGUCUCCAGGAUCUGAGGCAGCAAUACUGUACUCUUCUUCCUGAGGAUUCAUUGAAGAAGGCCAAAAGAAAAUCUGAGUGGAUCACCAGGAGUAUCCCAGUCCUUGCGGUCUUAUUAACGGGAGCUUUUGUCUCUCAUUUAAUCUGGCGUAAAUUGAACAAACCAAUUUAGCAAAAACUUUGAUAAUGUGAUAAUUACUUCUUCCUCUCUCUUCCAUAAAAGAACCAGUGUCUUAAAAAGUGUGAUGAAAGUGUCCUUUUCAGAGAACAAAUUUUAUUGGGACGAUGCAUUGGCUACGUCGGCUACCUGAGCAAUGUAAACAAGAACAGCAAAAACAUGCAAGUGCGCAGCAUUGUUUUUUACUUAGUGAUGGUAUAUGAUUAACUCAUAAAGCAUUUCAGUUGCCUUGUAAAGAGUGAUGGAUAUUGUCAAACAAAUUGCUCAAUACAUUUCUCAUCAACCAACAUCAGCCAAGAAGAGCAUUGAUCCCCAUUUAUAAUUUUUACCCUAUGGGAAUUGUGUACUUACUUUGGGAUCUCUUAAAUAUACAAUUUACCCCCCCCCCCCCCCCCUCUUGAAGUACCUAACUUCAAUUUAAACACUAACUUGAUCUCGGUCUGAACUUUUGGGUAUGAAUUUGGUACUGAAGAUGGACCAAUAUCCUUUUUAGAAGUACAAAAUGUUUAUGAAUCCAUAUUUUUUACUCAUUUAGAAUUAGACACUUGUCGUCAAUAUUAUAUAUUUUUUCACAACAUGCAGAUGCUUGUUCCAAGAUUUUUAUUUUUGUAAAAAAUUAGCUGCAUAUGAUAAAAAGCCUGUUUUGUAAAAAUGUAAAAACAAAUGGACCCAUUGUGAAUAUGAUUUUUGUAAUGAAUAAAUUCCAUAUUUUUCCACUUUUUUUACAAAAUAUUUUUGUUGUGUUCAUUUUGAACCGGACACCUGUUAUUAAAAUAAUCAUCCAUCAGAUCCAUAGCUUUUUUCUGAAUCAGUAGGUAAAAAGC
rnacentral:lncRNA from 1 species